rnacentral:rRNA from 1 species
GACGAACCGUGCGAACGUUAUUCGGAAUCACUGGGCUUAAAGGGCGCGUAGGCGGGCUCACAAGUCAGGGGUGAAAUCCCACGGCCCAACCGUGGAAGUGCCUUUGAUACUGUGGGCCUCGAGGGGGAUAGGGGCGUGCGGAACUCAGGGUGGAGCGGUGAAAUGCGUAGAGAUUUGGAGGAACACCAGUGGCGAAGGCGACUUUCUGGUCUGUAACUGACACUGAGGCGCGAAAGCGUGGGGAGCGAACAGG